AGCUCUGCGAGUCAUGGCUUCAUUUCUCCUUUCCAAACCUCAUGCAUCUUCCUCUUCUCGUGAACUUUAACUGAGAACCACAAACAGAAGGACUAUGGGAUACACAGUGCCCCCCCUCACCCAAGCUGACAGCACAAUUCAGUAGAAGCAUCUGGACACCAGCUCUCAUCUUCAGGCCACAGGUUUCUCUUCUGAACUCAAUGCAUUGUAACAAUUUCCAUCCAAG